rnacentral:lncRNA from 1 species
CGCAAGGGUGGCAGGAGGGGCAGGUGUGGCCCGAGGCGGCCCGGGAGCCAUUAGUAAAUGCGCCACCCGAGCCACCGGGCCCGCCCAAAGGCUGACCUCCCGCCCGCUCCUUCCGGUCGCGUUCUGGGGCCGACUCCUGGGCCCAGGCCUCGGCCCCGCUGCCCGCGCACCCGGACAGCUUCUCUCUGCUCAAGUUCAUGAAGGGCCGGGCCGCUCGGCAGCUUUCCGGGCCCCGUCUCCAGGCCGAGAGUGCUCCGCCGCCCAACCGGGCCUUCCCCCCACGGACCGUCCGUCCCGCGGCUUACCGAAAGAGUGGAGGUUCUGGAUAGCGGACAUACGAUACGAUUCCUUUUCCUCGGUGGAAACGGCCUGCGGAAGGCGGCGGCGGGAGAAGGCGGGCGGGGGGGACGGAGCGUCGGGAAGCGAGGGGGCUCGAGGGGGAGGCUGCUGAGUCCUCGGCGGCGGCUCAGUGACUGGGGCGGAGGGGCGGCGCCUGUAUUCACUUAUAUAGCCGCCCCUGUGACGCCAGCGCGUUGCACUCACGUCCCGGCCCCACCCACGGCGUCGUGCCCUGAGCGCCCAAGCGCCGCCUCUUCCAAUUGGUUCGGGGGCGGAGAUGCGGCGCGGCGCUUGCGCAGGAGCUCAGUGCUGCAGGAGGGCGUCCUCCUGGCUCUCGGAGAGCUGGAAGGGGGAGGGAAAGCUUAGUCAGUCUAGGCGCCUGCGCAGUGCGGAAGGAAGGUGUCUGGGCUGCGCAGAAAAUUGGCGGAGGUUUCGGGCGCGCCUGCGCACUAUGUUCUCUGGCACGUUCCAUCCUCUUGACUCUGUUGCGGCGUUACCUGCUCCAGGAAGGAUUGUUCCUGGGGGUUAUUGGCACUCCUUAGAGGGGAUUUAGCUGCCGAGCGUCCCGCACAUGACAGAUGCCCCCUAUCUCAUACCCACCCACCUACCCACCGGGUCACACACUUACUCCCACUUUCUUUGCAGAUUUACGGCGGCACCUUUAUUUAAUCAACCUAGAAUAAUAUAACCCAAACCCUAACUUUGGCAUUUAGAUUAAUUUAUCAUUUAGAUGAAUCUAAUCUAAAAAUGGAUUAGUCUGUAAAUUUACCAUUUAGAUAAUCUAAGGAAAGGACACCUAGCUCAUUAGCACGAGGCCAAGAGAGAGUAAUGCUGGUUCUGGGGGACCGAGAAGAAUUCAGGCGCCUGAAGGAUGUCCUUUGUGUCUUACAAAUCGUGUGUGGUGGAGCCUUCUCGGAGCGUAGAUGAAUAUUUCCUUCAAAUCAGUCAACCCUUCUUGUUCUUUGCAUUUAUUAAUGGAAACGCUCUCCGCUGCAGGGGUGAAAAGAGUGGUUUUAGACGCCACAGGCCUCCAGGGGCCAGGCAGGAAGCGGGGACAUGGGCGUCGAUGACAUGGGCGUCCCAGUCUCACAUCUCCCCAGUCUGCGAAGCUGAGUGCCCUCCUGCCCUCCACCUGGGAGCCUCGGCACUCACAGACCUGGCUCUGCCUGAAAGGGGUUUGGGGCGACAGUGGCUGCAUAGGUGGCAUGCACUCUAUUUCUACUGGAUGGCGCUGCUCUAGACGAUUGUGGACUGAAGAAUAUCGCCGACCUCAUCCUUUGCCCCAAACAGCUUAGUGAUCGUCCCCUCUUACCUGCAGCCGGGACUCUUCUUGAGCGGAAUUCGGGGCAGGAAGAUUUUUUCAUUUUGUUGAGCACCCAUGGCUUGCUGGGUCCUGUGCGAGGUAUAUCCCACCCCGGUCCCACGGAAUCCUGACGAAGCAGGGUCCUCAGCCCAUCUGCAGGUGAGGCGGCCGGCUUGGACCAGGACUUGGGCUGGGGUGGCGGUGGAUCUCUUCCUGCCGGGCAGCAUGGCCACCCGGGAGCGACCAGAUUCCCCCGAGGCACCUCUGGGGUGAUUCUGCCCUUGUAAGGGGUCAGCCAUUUCCUUGAUGGGGCCAGCACCAUGUGUGUGUUCCUUUCUUCCUUCCCAAAUGCUCCCGGAGAACUUCCUGCGUAGCCGCCCAGGCCCAGGGGAACCAUCUCAGUCCCUACAGGAGCCUAUAGGGGAGCCCUACAGGUGUGAGUGGGGUUUUGAGUCAAGGGACCAUUUGAGAUGCUCUCCUGCUAGUUGUCUGCUCUGUGUCCUCAGGAAGCUUGGAUAAUCUCUCCGAGCCUGUUUCCUUUCCUGUAUAUAUCAGGAGAAAACCCACUGGAUUUACUAUCCAUAACCCCCCAGCCUCCCUUCUAAGGAGAGCUGCUUCAGGUGCCCCUAGGGGCCUCAGCUGGCUUGGGGAAGAGCCUGGGUAGAACUAAGAUGCUGGAGGAGGCUGGAGACCCUGGGGGAGACCUGAGCUGAGAAGGAGGCACAGCCAGUGAGGCUGGGGGCGAUGAAACUCACCGCAGUUGAUGGGGACAGAAGCAGCCAGAGGAGCUGGGAGGAACGACACAUCUCCGGGGUCUUAGGGAGGGAAACCUUGUGCGCUGUGUUCUAUCUGCCCGUCCUCACUGCUCCUGCGAAUCUUUAGUAAAUUAUUGAUAGCUCACUGGUGCUUUUGGGGAGAGGGUUUUCUUUCAAGGACACAGUGAGGUUUGGAGUUCUGUAUCAAGACUGGCCAGGGCUGCUCAUGGGGGCCCUGUGACACCUUGGCUAGUUUAUAGGGAGUCCAUGGCUGGUCGCAGACCUCUUAUUUAUUAUCUGCUUCCAAGUGCCGGGCUCGGCGUUAAGCAAUUUCCAUUUGCCUCUUUGAAUCCUCCCAAUACCCCACCAAGUGGGAAUAGCUAUUCUCUUUUACAGACAAGGAUACAGAAGCUUAGAGUGGUGGAAUUAUUUUUGCAAGAUCAUAGCUAGUAAGUUGCAGGGCUGGAUUCAAGCCCAGAGCCUGUGCUCGUAACCAUGAAGAGGCACCCGCCCUGGAGGGCUGUCGGUGCCUGGCCCGUGUGCCCCACAGCACCCCGGAGUCACUGCUGGCUUCUCUCCCCACAGCUAGUAGGGGCACUCAGGGCAGGGUGGCCUGGCGUGGCCCUUGAGUGAACCCACUUCCUUCAGAUCUUUUGGUAUCUCUAUGUUUUAUUUAUUUUAUAUUAUUUUAUUUUUAUUUUAUUUUAAAAUAACGAUAUUUCUCUCCAUUGUAAAAUAAUAUCUUCUUAUUGCAUAAAAAUUUAAAAAGUAUGAAAAUGACCAAAAAAAAUCACUGGUUAAAUCAGUUACCACCUAGGGAUGACCAAAACCUGUUUUGGCGUGCUUCCCUCUGUUUAUGUGGAUAUUUAUGAAGCUGUCGACUGCUUUGUGCCAUGUUAGCCUGUACGCAGCCUUCAGCACUGCUUCGAGUUCUCCCCAAAGAGUCCGUUCUUACUAAAUACGCGUGAGUGAUGUAAGCUUUACCCAGUGACCCCAGAAGGAGGUGGGGGAGGGCAUUUACAACUCUCUCCCCCAACACAGCUCAAAAGUCUUAGCAGGCUCAGACCCCUCCUGACCUCUCAGAUGGCAUCUCUUUCUCCUCUGGGAUCUGCGUUUCCCGGCUCCUUCAUCUCCUCUUUUGAUCCUAUCCUAGUUUCAGACCUUAAACUCUUCUCCCCUCAGUUUUGCAGUUCAGCUCUGCCCCAUGCCUCCCCAAAAGUGUACAGCCAAGAUCUAAUAUCAAACCUGAAGUGAACGAUCACCGUUGUGCAGCCAAUCUAUGACACUGGGUGUAAUGGAAGAAAGUAGGAACUUUAUUGUGAAACGCUGAGCAGGGAGAAUGGGUGCCUGAACUCCGUGAAAAACUGCAAGCAUGGGUUUUUUUUAAAGAUUGCCUCCUGAGCUAAGAUCUGUUGCCAAUCUUCUUUUUUUCCCCUCUUUUCUUCUUCUUCUCCCAAAGGCCCCUCAGUAUGUAGUUGUAUAUUCUAGUUUCAGGUCCUUCUGAUUGUGCUCUGUGGGAUGCCACCUCAGCAUGGCCUGACAGCAGUGUGAGGUCCACACCCAGGAUCCGAAUCAGUGAAACCCUGGGGCGCGAAAGCAGAGCGUGUGAACUUAACCACUCAGCCACGGGGCUGGCCCCUGGGUUUUUAUUUGGGGUUUUAGGCAGAGGAGGGGGAGCAUGUGGCCUUGGGGGCUAAAGUUCUAAGAGUCCUCUGCACAGGCGUGAAUGUCUGUUCUAUGUGUUGCAUGGGGUGGAGUUUUAGUCUGUGAUGUCUAACGUCUACAAGCAGUCAUUUUAGCUUCUCAAUGCUCCUCCAAGAUGCUGAGUCAGGCGGGGGAGCUGUCUGGAAGUUCCUCUAUUAUCACUGGUCCUCUGCUGUUCUGCAAGGCAAGCUCAGAAACUUUGGUUAUUUUGUUUCCCACGUUAACCUUGUGGGUACAAGGCAGUUUCACCCUGACCCAGGGAAAUUUUAACUCCUUCACCCUCAGUUUCAGAUCCAUCUCCACUGGGCCAACAAGGGAUCUGCCAGCUUGUAGGACCCCUGGAGCAGAGAUACAGAGAUGCGGUUAGAGACAUCAAAAUGUUUUUACUAUUACUGCACACUUAAACAGUGUAUUUUGUUUGGGAUCAAAUGCUACAAACUGGUGCAUGACGUGCUUUUUGUCAUGUGAUAGAGAAUGGAGUAUGCUCCUGUUAUAUAAGAAAAGGGAUAUAUAUAUAUAUAUGUGUGUGUGUGUGUGUGUGUGUGUGUGUGUGUGUGUGUGUGUGUGUGUGUGUUUAGUCUAAAACAACAAGGUACCUGUAAGGAGAAGGAGGAGACAGGGUGGAGAGGACAGGGAUAAAAACUGAAUUUUCUUGACUUUGGCUUGUUUUGCAGAUUUGGUUUUGGAACCAUGCACAGUAGUCCCCCUGUAUCUGUGGGGGAUACCUUCCAAGACCCCCAGUGGAUGCUUGUAACCGUGGAUAGUAUUGAAUUCUAUACAUACUCUGUUUUUUCCUUUACAGAUAUAUCUGUUAUAAAGUUUGAUUUAUAAAUUAGGCACAGUGAGAGAUUAACAACAAUAACUAAUAAUAAAAUAGAACAAUUAUAACAAUAUACUGUAAUAAAAGUUAUCAUAGAUCUGAGCUAUCUCAACAUAGAUUUUCUUUUUAAAGAUUGUCCCUGAGGUAACAUCUGUUGCCAGUCUUCUUUUUUUCCUUCUUCUUCUCCUCAAAGCCCCUCAGUAGGUAGUCGUAUAUUCUAGCUGUGGGUCCUUCUGGUUGUGGCAUGUGGGACGCUGCCUCAGCAUGGCCUGAUGAGCGGUGCCAUGUCUACGCCUGGGAUCCGAACCAGCAAAACCCUGGGCCUCCAAAGCAGAGCGCGUGAACUUAACCACUCGGCCACGGGGCUGGCCCCAGCAUAGAUUUUUUUCCCUUUCCUUAUUAAGACAAGAGCUUUCAGCUUUUCACUUACAGGAAGCACUUCCUCUUUGGCACAUCUGAAUUGCCAGCAUCACUACUGUUGCACUUUGGGGCCAUCAUUAAGUAAAACAAAGGUCACCUGAGCACAAGUGCUGCGGUGCCCCAACAGCUGAUCUGACAACUGUGGGCAGGCAGCAGUUACAGUGCGGGUACACUGGACAGAGGGAUGAUUCACAUCCCAGACAGGAAGGAGCGAGAUUUAACCAGGCUACUCAGAAUGCGGCACAAUUUAAAGCUUAUGAGUUGUUUAUUUCUGGAAUCUUUUAUUUAAUAUUUUUAGACUGUGGUUGACCAGGAAUAACUGAAACCAUGGAAAGUGAAACUGCAGAUAAGAGUGGACUCCUGUAAAUAUCUUACAUAAUCACAGGGGUAAUAACUGCAAUGGGUUGAAACACAUCAAAGAUGCUUAUAUCAAAUACGUUUGAAUUCACAAGUUUAUAACAAUUUAAAAAAUCCUUACUAGUCGUCUUUCUGGGAUGCUAGAGAAUUAUCUCCUCACACUGAAAACUGGUAAAUAAAAGGAAAUUAUUUCCUUACCUUUCCUGUAAGAACUUGCCUCAGUGGAACCAAAUUGUAGGUGUGUGUGUAUUGGGGAGGGGCAUGGUUCUCUUUAUAGAAAUAUUCCAGGUAAUGAAUGAAGAAGGAAUGAUACAGGGGCCUGCCCAGUGGUGUAGUGGUUAAGCUUGCAUGCUCUGCUUCAGCCUCCCACAGUUGGCAGGUUUAGUUCCCCUACGCACAGCUCCUCAAGCCAUCCUGUGCCAUCCCACGUACAAACUGGGGAAGACUGGCACAGAUGUUAGCUCAGGGGCAAUCUUUCUCAAGCAAAAAGAGCAAGAUUGGCAAGAGCUGUUAGCUCAGGGCCAAUUUUCCUCACCAAAAAAAUUAAAAAAAAAAAAAGGAAUGAUACACUUAGAAUAUCACCAUUUUGUAACCCCUAAUCAAUGAAUGGAUCCGGGCAUUGAUCAUCAAUGGCUACUGAAGUCACCAAAAGACAAACAACACAUCUCUCCAGCACCACACACGAAUUGCCCCUGCUGAGAAAGAGGAGGAAACCCUGAAUCUGGCCAAGACUUUAGGUCUCACUAGUAGGUUUCAGACAAUACAGAGGACAGAGGAACAUGUUAAAUUACACCAUGGGAAUGCAGUCAGCCAAGUCCAGACUGGAACCUCUACAAGACCAAUGAUCUUUUCUACAACAAAUAAAUUGGAAGGGGAAAGAAAACAGAGGGAAGCGGUACCUGUAGUUUGAAAGACUUAAGAUACAUACAACUAAUUACUUUGUGUGGACUUUGUGUGAAUCUUGAAUUAAAAAAAAAUAACAAUUGUCAUUUAUAAAAGAUUUUGAAAUUUAAAUACUGCCCAGAUAUUUGAUUAUAUUAAGUGUGAUAUUGUGAUAUAAUAAGAAAUAUAUGUGGUCUCUGCCCCCAGUUCCUGGCACAGAGCCUCUAAAAUCCUUGUAAUUUCCUGAGUGACAGAGGUGCUAGGAGCAUCUUUUAUUAUAUAAUGUUUGGUCUUAGACCCUAGUUCCUGAAACAAGAGCUUCUAAGACUCUUGGAAUCUCUGGAGUGACGGUGUCUUCUGUAUGCUAAUGAGAUGGCUGGCGGCUGGGAGCCCCUCGGGAGCUUCAGGAUGGGGGCUGGUUGGUAAGGAAACAAACCGUGUGUUAGAGGGCUGGAACUUGCCAUCCCACCCCCUGACCUCCUCCGGGAGAGGAGAGAGGAUGGAGAGUGAGUCAGUCGCCAGCUGCCAGUGAUUUAAUCAGCCACACCUACAUAAUGGAACCUUCAUAAAAACUUUAAACAGUGGGGUUCAGGGGAGCCUGCUCGUUGGUGAACACAUUUGUCUGCUGGGAGAGUGGUGCAUCUCACCUCCACGGGGACAGAAGCUCCUGAGCUUAGGACCCUUCCAGAACUUGUACUGUGUACCUCUUCAUCUCACUGCUCACCUGUAUCCUUUAUCACAUCCUUUAGAAUGAACUAACUGGUAAUACUAAGUAAAGUGCUUCUCUGAGUUCUUUGAGCCAUGACAGCAAAUGACCAAGCCCGAGGAGGGGUUGUGGGAACUCUUGAUUUGCAGCCAAGUUGGACAGAUCUGUGGGUAACCUGGGGACCCACGACUUGUGACUGAUGUCUGAAGUGGGGGCUAGUCUUGUGGGACUGAGCCCUUAACCUGUGGGGUUUGUGCUAACUUUGGGGUAGUUCGUGUCAGAACUGGUUGGUGUGGAAAACCCACACAUUUGGUGUCAGAAGGUUGUGAGUUGAGAAACAACUUUCUUUUAUUAAGGAAUUAUUAUUAAUUAUUUUAGUUGUGAUAAUUAGAUGUGGUUAUGCUAAAGAAGAAAAGUUCUUCUCUGCUAGCCACAUAGUGAAAUAUGUAUGGAUAAAAUGCUAUGAUGCUUGGCCUUUGUUUGAAAACAAUAUGUAGGAGGAGGGAGGAGGGGGUGGGGUGAUAGAUUGAGACUAUCCAUGAGUUCAUAAUUGUUGACUUUGGGGUGAUGGGUGCCUGGGGGUCUAUUAUAUCAUUUUUUCUACUUUGAUGCAUGCUUUAAAAUUUCUAUAAUAAAAGAGUGACAAACGUAUGUCUUGAGCCUCUUACUGUGCUGAUAAACAGAAUUCUACAACCGCAUUUUUAAUGGCUACCUAAUUGUCCUUUGUCUUGAUGUAGCAUAAACAACGUAACCAGUCUCCUUUUGUUGGGCAUCUAAAUCAGCUCCAAUCUUCUGUUCUCGUCAACAGCACUGAAUGAAUAUCCUUGUGGAUAAUUCAACACGUAAGUGAUACUGAACCAGGAUCGUUUUGCCUGAUGCACAGUCAUGCCAGUUACUGAGACGAGGAGUUUGCAGCAGAGAGAGGUUUAUUCACAAGGCAGCCAAGCGAGGAGAUGGGAGAACCAAUCUCAAACCCACUUCCCUGAAAAAUGGGGAUAAGGGAUAUUUAUGGGAUAAAGGGGUGGGGUGGUCUGAAGUGUGGGAACAGAUGAUUGGAGAUGAGGAGAAGUGAGGUAAUUGACGAUCUGUGCAAGCGUAGUCAGACUUCACAGCUCUUCAUAGGACCCGUUCAUAAAAUGGCGGUGUUACCAUGAUCUGAGGGUGGAGUUUUUGGCUCCUUGACGUCAAAGGGUCACCUGUCAGUCAUCCACGCAGGCCCAGUGGAUGAGUCAGUGGUCUUAACCAGCCUGCACUGCACAAGGAGUCAACUCUCAGUUCCUGAAAAACUUAGUCACUCAUUACCAUGGUGACCCAAGUGUCAGAGACGUUAUCUGUGGAGUGGGUUUUGGUAAUGCGUUAACUACUUGUGCAAACAGACAACUAACUGAGUAUAGUUAAAGCAGGUUGGCCCCCAGUUUUGCACGUCUCUCAGUAUUUCUUAGGAUAAAUUCCUCUAAGUGGAUUUUCUGAGUCAACAGGUAAGUGUAUCUCUAAGGUGUUUGCCAAACUGCCCUGCAGAGACAAAUUGGUUCACAUUCCCUCCAGCAGCCCGGGAAAGGGAGGUCCUUACUCCUCUCUCCCAGUGACUUCUCAUACUCUUUUCUCCCUGGGCUUCCGUGAUCGUCUGUCGGCCUCACAAAUCCUCAUUCAUCAUAUUUAAUUGUCACAUUAACCCAACGAGGCAGGUACUUUUAUUAUCAUCAUUUUCUAGUAGAGAUGGAGGCUCAGAAAGGGCAAGUAACCAGCCCAAGGUCACAGAGCUCUAGUAAGAUGUGACUGGCUCACAUAGCUGCCUGAUGGAGGACCUGGCCUGGGAACUACUGGCUGUAUCAAUGGGCACCUCUCCCUUUGCCUUCUCUGCUGGCUCCCCUUCUUUCUCUGAACUCCUCCGUGGUCCCAAACUUCUGCUUCCUGCUCUCUUGGGUCUCUCAUUCUUUUCUUCUGUGGCAAAUUCAUUCCCCACCAGGUCUAUGAAAAUAGCUCCUAAAUUUGCACCUCGGUUCAGUUUAGUUCUCACGAGUUUGUAUUUCCAGGUCUGUCUCUGGAGCGUGUGUCAGAAUCACAGUGGCCUAGGGAACCAGAAACAUCUCUGGGGCAAAGUUCGGGACAUGGGUGGUGAUGAUGGUUGCACAACGAUGUGAAUAUACUUGAACUAUACACUUAAAAAUGGUUAACAUGGUGAAUUUUAUGUAUGUGUAUUUUGCCACCAUAAAACACACACAGAUACCAAGUGUGUAAGUUAACAACGUGUUUAAGAAACAUCCCAAAUUUAGCAUGCCCUAGACUGGGCACCUAAUGUCCCCUCCCUGCCCAAACUGUCCCAUCCUCAGCCUUCCCAUCACAGCUGAUGGCAGAUCCAUCCCCUGGAGACAGAACAUUUGACGCUUCUCUUCUUUUCCACCCCACAUCCAAUUGGUUAGAAACCCCAGGGGUCUCUCUACACGAUAUAGCCAGAGUCUGACCAUGGCUCACCCCUCCUUGGCUCCCACCCAGGUCCAAGCCACCGUCAUCUCUGGCCUGGAUUAUUGCAAUAGCCCACGAUGGGUCUCCUGGCUUUGGCUCCAGCUCCCUGGCGUCUGGUCCGUACACAGCAGCCGAGGGAGUGCAUUGGAAUGUAAGUCACAUCAUGGCACUCCUCUGCUCAAAGGUGAAAGCCGGUCUCCACUGUGUUCUGUGAGGCCUCCGUGAUGAAUCCGUUACCUCUCUGAGCUCACCUCUGUUCCUCUAUCCUUCACCUCUACUCCAGCCACACCAGCUCUCUUGCUGGGCCUAGAACAUGCCAGCAAUGCUCCCACUUUGGGGUCUGGACGCUUCUCCCCAGAUAUUCGCAUGGCUUUCUUUCCCAAAGUUUUGUAGGCAAGGAAAACGUAAUUUUCCCUCUGCCCUUCUAAGUUUUUAGCUGAGACCGCUGCAAUCAAAGACAGAUUGACAAGAGAAAGAAAAACAGAAGUUUAUUAACAUGUAUACCUCAUGGAAACAUGGGAACACUCAGGACAAAUGAGGGACUCCUCGAGGCGGCUUAGAAUUCAGGCUGAAAUCCACCAUAAGAGGGAAAGGGAGCGGGAAAGAAAGGCCUCCUAGGGGACAGUAAAUGACUUUCAGGAAAGCACAGCUGGGAGGUGUGACGGUUGAGACAAAGUUUGGCUGUGGUGUCACUUCCACUCUCCUCUCCUGUGAUGAGUCAGUCUUCGUGGGUGAUGAGGCCCCCUCCCGGGAGGGGGUUUAUGACAGCUGAGUUCCUCCUGGAGAACCUGUCUUUAGGCAGAAAAGAGGAAUUUAGAGAAAGCCUCUCCCCGCAUUUGCUGUUUUUCAAGUGCCUACAGCUCAAAAUAAUCACCACAGGAAAGCAGUGGAUUUUGGGGUGCACGUCCUGCUACGGGUCCAUCUCGAGGUUCUGCUUAAAUGCCCCCUCUGUCCCAAGGCCUUUCCUGACCCGAUUUUAAAUGGUGGCCCUGCCCAGGCCUCUCACCCCUUUCCCUGUGUUACCGCUCCUUUUCCCAUAGUACCUUCUAGCAUGCCAUGUCAUUUACUUAUUAGGGCUGUUACGUAACGUCUGUCUCCCCCACUGCCAUCUAACACCACGUACUGCUGUAUGCCAAACCAGCCAGCACAGGGCCCGGCACAGAGUCCGGGCUCAGUAAACACAAGUCAAAGGCGUGUGUGGGUUAAAGUGCUUUAUUUACGACAAAGUCUGUACACACGUGAGCAAUUGCUCUUGCUUCCACUUUAAUAGCUUAUUAUUUCCAGUGGCCGAAGGACGUCUUCCCCAGGAUGUCCUGAUAGCGACUCCAGCCAGGGCCGGGUCUCCUGCUUGGCCCUGGCUUGUCCAGCUCUGCGGGUAGCGCCACCAUCAGACUGCUUGUCCUCCCUCUGUUCUCUUUCCCCAGCACCUUCUCCCUCUCCCCGAAACGUCUCCCAUGUGCCCUGUCCACUCCCCUCCAGCUAUGGUGCUGCUUCUUGAAGAGAUGCCUGGUCAAGCUGCGCCCUUUCUCAAAGACCUUUGCCGGCUCCCCAUUGCGUAAGAUUUACGUACAAACUCCCUGGACUGGGCUCAGACUUGCCCGCGAGGCUCCCGAAUGACCUUUCCUUCUCUGCUUUACAUGUGACGGAGGCUCGGGACAAACUGGAUUCCUUAGAACGAUGUUUUUGCGCCUCCAUGCCGUUGCUUAGGCUGACCCCUCUACCUGGAGGGCCCUCCUGCAUCUUUGCUUGCCCCAAGUCAGGCCCGGCGUCAGCAUCACCCGCAGCCGAAGCCUUUCCUGAGUAUGUUCUACGGGCACGCCCCCUCCGUCUUCUGGAACCUUGUGCAUGAUCUUCUAUUCUGGUGGGUGUCUGGUGCUGACUUGAGUUUUGGAUCAUGUCGUUUGGAGGCCACCCUGCCGGACACGGGCUGAGCUGUGCCGCGUUCUUUUCUAUAUCCCCUGAUAGUCGCAGCACAGCGCCCACUUUCCUUCAAGCCAAGUGUUACUUCGAAUUUCAGGCCAAACGCGGAGCCACAGAAUAGGCACAUUUCCUGCAGUGGCCACAAGAUGGCAGCACAGACCGCGCUUCGGGACAGACGCGGCCUCUAGUUCCUCCCGCCUUCCCAGAGGCCGCAGCCCUAAGAGGCCCACUCUGAGGUCCCGUUUCCGAGAGAGACCCGGGUGGGAUGGACGGAGCACUGGGCAGAGAGUCGGCAGGUUUGGACGCCGGGUCUGCAUUGCGACUUUGGGCGAGUGUCGUCUGUGUACCACGAAAGGGCGGUCACAGAGCCCAGCUCCUGGCUCCAGCCCGUGAAGAUUCCUCUCCCCGUCCUCCUCCGCGGGCCCUUGCCGGUUUCCCGAAGGCGCAGUGAUGGAUGGUCGCGCUGACAUCUGCCGUUCCCCACCUUCUCUCUCUUUCUGCGAUUAUGUGUGGCCGAGAAGAGGGAGAAGGUGGGGUCCCUGGGGCCCCAGAAGGUCCUGCCUCCGUCUCCAGGCCCACUUGUCCAUCCUUAUCGAGGCAGGACAAGCCCCAUCCAGGCAGGAAAAAAACGUCAUGUUCCUUAAGAGUCUGGCCUGUGACCCGGAGGGAGCUCCUCCACACCCGUGGCCGCGCUCACCGGAGAGGGAGCGGCGCGCUGCCUGGGGGGUGGAAGGUCGUGGGGUGACACGGCCGGCAAACACAAGUGUCCAGGCCGUGGGAGCCGCAAUAAUACUCACACUAACUUUAAUAAUUAAAAUCCCGUCUGACGAUUCUAACUUUACCCUGAGACCCACCAAGAGAACAGGGGAGGGAUGGUGGGGACGUAGGGAUGCCUGAAAUGUGCUCGAUGAGGGAGCAGGAGAGAGGAAGGACGAAGAUGUCCGAGGAGGGUCAUCCCUGGGAGAGGGGGUGCGCGGUUCAGCCUCCCUCCCCGCGGCCGUGGGCCCGGCCAGCAGAGGGCGCCGCGAACGCGCCGGCCGCCCUGGGUCUCGGGCAGCUCCGGUCCGAGCUCGUGUCUUCCUGAACUGCAGGCCUCCGCGCGCGCGGUCGCUGGGGAUGCGAUGCUGGUUAAUUUGGGGACGUGUCGCCGUUUGUAAUUGCUGGCCUGUGUCCCGAGUGGCAACCGUGGGUUUGCCUGUAAUCACCCCAGCAAUCAUGCAUUCAGUUAACACUGCUGAGCACCCCGGCUCGUGUCAAGCGCUGUACUGGGAGUAAAGUGGCAAGCUAGGAGCAUGCCCUGAUAACCAACACCCGGGUCACGUGAUCCAGGUGACAGAGGCCAGCUCAGGCUGCUGGGGGAGCACCGAGGAGGGGUCAAGCACUUCUCACUACCAUCCCUCUCACAUGCACCAACCCUGGGGUGAGCAGGGUUAUGCUUUUUUAACAGAGGAGAGAAUCGGUUCAGAGAGGUUAAGUCACCUGCCCAAGGCCACACAUUCAGUAAGGGGAUGAGCUGGGAUUUGCCCCCAGAACCUGGUUCCAGAGUGCCCUCCCACCUGCCCGGUGAGACUGCCUCUGCCAGGGAGCAGCCAGUGAGGCUGCGAUGGCAUGAGGGCCUGCCCUGGGGUCAAGGAGGCGACUCCACCGGGACAGGAGCCUGUGGAAAGGGGAGGUUACAGGGCAGCUGAUUUCAUCUCAGAAUGAGGAAGAACUUUCCAGUAAUCAGAGUUGCCCAGUCAUAGAAUGGAGGAGUCCAAGGACAACAAGUGCCGUGUCUCUCCCCACACUUGGCAGUGGCUCCCUGCUGAGCCGGGGGCAUUCCCCCAGUGCUGGAGGCUCUGUCUGGUACAGGCCCCUUCUCUCUCCGGCCUCGUCUUGCCCCCUCUGUGUUCUUGCCUCUCCGUCCUUCUUUCAGCAACUUGCUGGCAUACUGCUUGCCUCUGGGCCUUUGCACGUGCACACUCCCUCUUUGUCUGGGCCAACUCACCCAUUCUUCAGGCUGCUCAAGGCCUUCCCUCACUCCUAACAAGGUCAGGUGGCCUGUGUGCUGCUCAUUUGGGCUUCUCUGCUCCCCUAGAUGUGCCUGGUCGUGCCUUCCUGACAGUAUUGGGUGACAGCCUCUCCCUCUAGACUGUCAGCUCCGUGCAGCCGGGUUGGCAUUGCCUUGUUCUCUGGCAUCUCUCCAGCGUCCAGCAGGCCAGGGCUGUGCCUCACUCCGUGCUCAAGAAUUUUGUUGGAAAAAUGAGUGAAUGAUGAAUGAAGGCAAGAAAGAAUGAAGGAAGCGUGCAAAGCCAAAUGCCCGGGCAGGGGGACCGGGGUCAGCAGACCUGCAAGUUCCCUCCCGUCACCCUCUGGCUACAGCUGACGUUCUUUGCUCAACUCCCCAGGAAUUAGAGACUCAGGGCCACAGUCAACAAGCAUCAUUCAGCAUCUAACACGUGCCUGGCACCCGGCCAGGCACUGUCACGUCUGUUCUCACCCAUCAAAUCACGAACAGGGACGAGGGGAAACGUUUUCGGUGGACACGAGCUUGAGGCUUCCAUCCCUGCCUGGAAGGGUUUGCGCGUUGGUCUCGGCCACUGCCACCCCGGGCUGCACCGGCCCUGCCCUGUCUCUCGGGCCCCACCCGUCCUGGGCUCCCGGCUGCGUUUCCGGAGAAGGCCAGCAGGUGACGGCAGAAGCUAAGAGUCGGGGCUCAGCGCGCGCCUGCCAGCCGCGGACCGCCGGCAGGGGGCGCGGCUGCUCCACCUGGUGCACAGGUGAUUUCGGUGGGUUUUACCGGCGGGACGAGGCAGCCGGAGCAGCCCGGCCAGGAGUGGGGUGGGUCCAAGGCGCAGCAGGGGAGGAAGACUGCGUGGCACUCUCGUUCCUGCUCAUUUGUGCAGUGCGGUCUUAACCUCUACUUUAUAGGUAAACUUUCUUUGUAUUGGGCCAGAAGGUAAAUAUUUUAGGUUUUGCUGGCCAUAUGGUCUCUGUUGCAAAUACUCAACUGUGUCCUAGAAGUGGAAACAACCCAGGACAAAUGCGUGUGGCCGUGUUCCCAUGAGUCUUUAUUUGUGGGCGUGGAAAUUUGAGUUUCAUACAACUUUCAAGUGUCAUGAAAUAUUGCCCUUUUUUUACUUAAAAAAAAAACUACUUAAAAAGGUAACAAGCAUUCUUAGCCCUUGGGCAGGGGGACCCCUGAUCUAGAUGAAGUCCCAAACCGGGGCCUGGCGUAUGCUAAGCGCU